rnacentral:rRNA from 1 species
UUGAAAGGGAAACGAUUGAAGUCAGUCGUACCUUCGGGUAAUCAGCCUUUCGGGUGCGAUUCUGUGGAGCGUGGGGAGUUAAACGCCUUCAUGCCUGCAUAUUCGUGCACUUUGGGUGUACUUGCCCGUGUGGUAGGUUAACAUCAAUUUCGGAUAUCAUAAAAUGGCUGGAGGAAUGUAGCUUCGGUCUCGUACUGAAGUGUUAUAGCCUUCGGCAGAUAUGGUGACCGGGAUUGAGGAUUGCAACGGAUACCUUUUGGGCUACCCGCCUGAUCUCUGAAAGUUGCUCUGGUGCCGAAAGCUUGCUUACGGUUAUCAAAGUUGACGUUCAAAAGGUUAGAACGGGUUAAAUUCGUUAAGGAUGUUGACGUA